GCCUACGGGAGGCAGCAGUGGGGAAUAUUGGGCAAUGGGCGCAAGCCUGACCCAGCCACGCCGCGUGAGUGACGAAGGCCUUCGGGUCGUAAAGCUCUGUGGGGAGGGACGAAACCUGCUUGGCUAAUAUCCAAGUAGCUGACGGUACCUCCUUAGCAAGCACCGGCUAACUCCGUGCCAGCAGCCGCGGUAA
rnacentral:rRNA from 1 species